CUUUUAUUCACCUUCUUUUUAUACCUUCACAUGCAGUGGCAGUUACACACAGUAAAGCUUACACUGUAAAUGCAGGAGUGUUGGACAUAUAUUUUUUAAAUAAAAAAAUAAAGAUAAAAAAUAUAAAAGACUAAAGGAUAACCAGAGACACAGACACAGUUUAAAAUGUUCCCAUUUUAAAAGAUUUUUAUUGGGCCUUUGAGUUCACAGUGUCAUGUAUACACAAAUAUAUUUAUAUGUAUUUCACUUGCAAAGCUACCACAGUGGUAAACAUAGCUGGAGUGGCCAUCGGGCAUACCGGGCAUUCGUCCGCUGGCGAUUUUUUGAUUUUAUGGGCCGAUCAAUUUUUUUUUUUUUUUUUUUGGAAGGGUAUAAAUGAUGAAAGGUGUUGGAUUGGCCAAUUGGUCAUGAUCGACUCUGGGCUGGACCAAUUACAGCCGAGGAGGUCGGAUGCACCCUCCCCCUUGUUUAGCAAUCUUAUAGACGAACUAAAGAAAAUGGAGAACAAAAAAAGGAAAGGAGGUGCAGAAAAAAUUAGGGCCUCUGGAUGGAUUCCCUCUUUCUUUCUCCCCUUCUUUCCCCCAGUCCCGUAUUCAGUAAGUGAAAAUAAAAUAAACAAUAAAAGGUGAAUCAAAUGGACCAUUACGGCAAGGCUGGGAUGGUCAAUUUGGUAAAGUAAAUCCGUUGGGCAUCUUUCUUUUCCUUUAGACAACAAUUCUGAUGGCAAAAGAGCCAAACGGGACAGGCAAAAGAAAAAAGAAAAAAAAAGAAAAAAUUAGGGCCAAAAAGAAACAAGCCCUUCAGGCAGACGCUGCCAAAUGUGUAAAAAUAACUGAAUUGUUUGUCGGUAGCUAUGGCAUAGCUUCCACAGAUUUAGCAACAUCAGCAAGUGGUGGAGGCCAGCAGGUGGAUAAGGGAAAGGGGAGGCAAGAGGAGGAGUUAUGACCUGCUGUCUAUCUGUGUCAGAUAUAAACCAAGUUUAGUUGUAGUUUGUUUUCGUUGUGUUGACUUUUUACAGUCGCU
ensembl:lncRNA